AUGCCCUUGGAGGAGGGCAGCUUAGUUGCCCUCCUCGGUUAUUCGAGGCAGGGAAGCUAGCCAGCAACCACCUCGGUAAAUCAUUAACCGAGGCUGGCAACUUAACAGGCCCGCCUCGGUUAAUAUAUAUUAACAGAGGCGGGCAUUCUAACUCAAUCGCCUUGGUAAAUCAUUAACUGAGGUAGGCAAUCUAAAUCAUUUGCCUCGGUAAAUCUGGCCCAACCUGCUAGCCCACACGAACCCACUACCAUCUCCCAUAUAUAAACACAGGGGUUAGGGUUUCACUCUCCAGCCACUCCUCCCUCUCAGCGCUCUUCCCCGCCCCCACCCCCUAUGCAUGAUCUCCCAGCAGGUUGCCAUCUCUGUUCCCUUCGUCUUCUCUAACAGAUGCAUCGCUAUCUUUAGCAUAGUGUUUGCACCCUCCAACUAGAGCUUCCUUAUCGACAUCCAUGAACAAGCCUGCCCAAUAUCCCAAAUGUGAAGAUGCAUACGCUUGAGCUUAUUAGCCGAAUCUGCCAGCCAUUCAGCAGUGUUUUUCUCUCACAACAAAUUAGACAACAGUACUUUCUGCCAUGGCUUAUUAGCCAAAUGAACAAAAUCAGCCAACAAUACUAUUAGGCACUUUCCAUAUAGCAUGAAUUUUUUUUUACCAUAAGGUAUCCACUUCUCAGCCCACACCUGUCAUUGAUCAAAGUUUCUGGGAACAUUGUUGGCCCCAAAGCACUGAGCAACUAUACCCCAAACAGCUUUCGCCACUGUGUUUGCCAGGUUGGCAUCCUCCACUUGCGUGCUGACAAUCAGUACUGGAAUGCCCUAACGCCAUUGUGCCAUGUCUCACUACAAAUCCAUCAAGGCUGGCUGGUGUGGUGAAAGCUGCAAGCUCAAACUGUAUAUACAUGCAGUCAUUGUGCAAUAUUUGUUUCCUUUCAAUUCCCUAUGCCUCCACGUAGUUCUAUUUCUAUAGCCAUAACUUACUUCUCACAGAAAUGCUAGCAUGGUUCCUGAAUUAAGGACCAAAAGCUUUCACUGUUGUUCAAUGUUAUCACUCAAUGGAAGCCUCAGACACCUUUCAGAGUCGACGUUGGAUUUAUAGCCAACCUUUUGGAUAUUGGCUGAGUCCCAAUUUAUAGCC
rnacentral:lncRNA from 1 species